CCUAACUUCUGCUGAAUAACUAUUGCAAACUUAUCUUUACUUGGUCCUCUCUGAAUUUCUGCUUUCCAGCUAUUGCAGUUUCCUUUUCCUCAAGAGGACUUGUUCACUUGGUGAGGGCCUUCUAUCUUCAAAAGCGUCCAUCAGGGCUCUUCCAAGGGGAACUCUUCCUUCUUCUUGACAUGGAGAAUGUUUUGAGGUGAUUCAUCUCUUAGUUGCGGAUUGUUUGAGAGCUGGACAUCUGAUGAAGUUUUCCUAUGUGUGAAAAGCAGUGAUCAUAAGCUGUUCUCUCAAUCUGAUGGGGCUAUUACAAGGUUGAUGGAAAAGAUGCCAUGGAAGGAUCAACCUUGUUAGCAAUAUAGUCCUUGAGGAUGGCAAUUUCCUGGUGAGAGAGUGUCCAUGCCUUGCAAGGGGAACCUGUUAUGAAAAAUACUUGGUAAAGAACAGAGAUAUGGAUUAGCCAAUACAUGGGAAAGCAGCUAGUUGGAUUUUAAGUCAUGGUGUGUCCUUGCUCUCAUAAUCAUGAAUAUACUCCUGGGUCUGCAGCUUCCAUUUUCUGGAGCGUACUUACUACUGCACUUAACCUAAUGACUUUUUAAAUGCUUAUAGUCUUGCAGAAACAGAAUUCGCCCCCAUUCUGAUGACGAAUGCUGCUAAUGGG